rnacentral:rRNA from 1 species
UACGAAGGGGGGCUAGCGUUGUUCGGAAUCACUGGGCGUAAAGCGUGCGUAGGCGGUUCGCUGUGUCCGAUGUGAAAGCCCCGGGCUUAACCUGGGAAUGGCAUUGGAAACUGGCGGGCUUGAGUGCGGCAGAGGGGGGUGGAAUUCCGCGUGUAGCAGUGAAAUGCGUAGAGAUGCGGAGGAACACCGAUGGCGAAGGCAGCCCCCUGGGUCGACACUGACGCUCAGGCACGAAAGCGUGGGGAGCAAACAGG